rnacentral:rRNA from 1 species
GACAGAGGAUGCAAGCGUUAUCCGGAAUGAUUGGGCGUAAAGCGUCUGUAGGUGGCUUUUCAAGUCCGCCGUCAAAUCCCAGGGCUCAACCCUGGACAGGCGGUGGAAACUACCAAGCUGGAGUACGGUAGGGGCAGAGGGAAUUUCCGGUGGAGCGGUGAAAUGCGCAGAUAUCAGGAAGAACACCAAUGGCGAAGGCAGCUCUCUGGGACGGUACUGACGCUGAGACGCGAAAGCGUGGGGAGCGAACAGG